GACGAACGCUGGCGGCGUGCUUAACACAUGCAAGUCGAACGCUGAAGCUCAGCUUUUGUUGGGUGGAUUAGUGGCGAACGGGUGAGUAACACGUGAGUAACCUGCCCCCUUCUUUGGGAUAACGCCCGGAAACGGGUGCUAAUACUGGAUAUUCACUUGUCUUCGCAUGGGGGUUGGUGGAAAGGGUUUUUCUGGUGGGGGGUGGGCUCGCGGCCUAUCAGCUUGUUGGUGGGGUGAUGGCCUACCAAGGCUUUGACGGGUAGCCGGCCUGAGAGGGUGACCGGUCACAGUGGGACUGAGAUACGGCCCAGACUCCUACGGGAGGCAGCAGUGGGGAAUAAUGCACAAUGGGCGCAAGCCUGAUGCAGCGACGCCGCGUGAGGGAUGGAGGCCUUCGGGUUGUGAACCUCUUUCGCUCAUGGUCAAGCCGCAACAAUGGUUGUGGUGAGGGUAGUGGGUAAAGAAGCGCCGGCUAACUACGUG
rnacentral:rRNA from 1 species